rnacentral:rRNA from 2 species
UGGGGAAUAUUGGACAAUGGGGGCAACCCUGAUCCAGCCAUGCCGCGUGUGUGAAGAAGGCCUUCGGGUUGUAAAGCACUUUAAGUUGGGAGGAAGGCCUUGAGGUUAAUACCUUUGAGGAUUGACGUUACCAACAGAAUAAGCACCGGCUAACUCCGUGCCAGCAGCCGCGGUAAUACGGAGGGUGCAAGCGUUAAUCGGAAUUACUGGGCGUAAAGCGCGCGUAGGCGGCUGAUUAAGUCGGAUGUGAAAGCCCCGGGCUCAACCUGGGAACUGCAUACGAUACUGGUCGGCUAGAGUAUGAGAGAGGGAGGUAGAAUUCCACGUGUAGCGGUGAAAUGCGUAGAUAUGUGGGGGAAUACCGGUGGCGAAGGCGGCCUCCUGGCUUAAUACUGACGCUGAGGUGCGAAAGCGUGGGGAGCAAACAGG